GAUGAACGCUGACGGCGUGCCUAAUACAUGCAAGUCGAGCGAACGGACGAGAAGCUUGCUUCUCUGAUGUUAGCGGCGGACGGGUGAGUAACACGUGGAUAACCUACCUAUAAGACUGGGAUAACUUCGGGAAACCGGAGCUAAUACCGGAUAAUACUUUGAACCGCAUGGUUCAAAAGUGAAAGACGGUCUUGCUGUCACUUAUAGAUGGAUCCGCGCUGCAUUAGCUAGUUGGUAAGGUAACGGCUUACCAAGGCAACGAUGCAUAGCCGACCUGAGAGGGUGAUCGGCCACACUGGAACUGAGACACGGUCCAGACUCCUACGGGAGGCAGCAGUAGGGAAUCUUCCGCAAUGGGCGAAAGCCUGACGGAGCAACGCCGCGUGAGUGAUGAAGGUCUUCGGAUCGUAAAACUCUGUUAUUAGGGAAGAACAUAUGUGUAAGUAACUGUGCACAUCUUGACGGUACCUAAUCAGAAAGCCACGGCUAACUACGUG
rnacentral:rRNA from 1 species